CGCAGGGUUGCUGUAUACUCAUCCAUACUGAUACCAAGGACCUUCCCCUGUUACACAUGCAGAUGUAAAAUGUUGCCCAUAAAUUCUUGUGUUUGGAUAUUUUCAAAUGCUACCCUCCUCCGAUUAAAUUCACUUAGAUUUCAACUUGUGCUGAACUUCUUAAUUUUUCAGUUGCACUUGAAGUUGCAAGUUUGUCAGUAAGCCAACCUCUUUUAACUUUACGUGUGUGUGUGUGUGUGUGUGUGUGUGUGUGUGUGUGUAGAGAUUUAUUUACAGGUCUUAUGGAUGGAGUCAUGAUCUUUAUAAGUUUUGUCUAGAAAACAUUUUCCUUAAAGUUAUCCACUGCCUCUGAACUUAAAUAUCCCUACAUCAUCUUUCAUGAUAGACACAUAAUCCCACUUACUAGCUUAAGAGAGACUGAUGGUGGCUGGAAAAGGGACAGCCAGUGUUCUUUAAUGGUGACUCUUGGUGGGUAGACCACCCUCCAGGGCAGGCCCUACUCCUAAGCGUAGUUGGACAAUGCAAUUGUAUUUAAUGGCUUUUAAAAAAAAUAAUAAUAAAAGAACUGGAAGUCGAGUUGGUAGGAGAUUGUGGGUGGGGAGGGUAAAUCUGGGACAGUUGGCAGGCUGAGAAUAUGAUCAAAAUAUAUUGUAUGAAAUAUUUAAAGAACUAAUAAAAUAUCUUAAAAUUUUAAACAGAAUAAACAGUUACUCAGAGGCAGGAAUAAAAUAGCCCUGUGUUGGAAUUCUGCCUCUUCUUUCUCUCUUUCUCUCUUACCCUCCCUCCUUCCCUCCCUUCCUCUUUCUCUCUCUCUUUUCUCUCUCUCUUUCUUUCUUUCUUUCUUUCUCACUCAGUUUUCUAAUUUGCAAAAUGGCAAUAAUAAGCAUUCUUGCUCUUAAAAUUAUUGUAAAAGUGCAACUUAAUACUAAAGGUAACACUGGCCUAGGCCCUAGUACAAAGCAAAUGAUCCGUACAUGCUAUUACAGUAGUCCAGUGCAGUUUUCCUCUCCUACAACAUACUUUGUUGGUGAGAGAAGCUCAGAAGACCAUUCAGAAUUGAUAUCUGGGCUAAGACAAAAAGGGAAAAGAAAAGAGCUCC
rnacentral:lncRNA from 1 species